rnacentral:rRNA from 1 species
CGUAUGCAAUCUACCUUUUACAGAGGGAUAGCCCAGAGAAAUUUGGAUUAAUACCUCAUAGUAUAGUGACUCGGCAUCGAGAUACUAUUAAAGUCACAACGGUAAAAGAUGAGCAUGCGUCCCAUUAGCUAGUUGGUAAGGUAACGGCUUACCAAGGCUACGAUGGGUAGGGGUCCUGAGAGGGAGAUCCCCCACACUGGUACUGAGACACGGACCAGACUCCUACGGGAGGCAGCAGUGAGGAAUAUUGGACAAUGGGCGCAAGCCUGAUCCAGCCAUGCCGCGUGCAGGAUGACGGUCCUAUGGAUUGUAAACUGCUUUUGUACGAGAAGAAACACUCCUACGUGUAGGAGCUUGACGGUAUCGUAAGAAUAAGGAUCGGCUAACUCCGUGCCAGCAGCCGCGGUAAUACGGAGGAUCCAAGCGUUAUCCGGAAUCAUUGGGUUUAAAGGGUCCGUAGGCGGUUUAGUAAGUCAGUGGUGAAAGCCCAUCGCUCAACGGUGGAACGGCCAUUGAUACUGCUAAACUUGAAUUAUUAGGAAGUAACUAGAAUAUGUAGUGUAGCGGUGAAAUGCUUAGAGAUUACAUGGAAUACCAAUU